UACGGAGGGUGCAAGCGUUAUCCGGAUUUACUGGGUUUAAAGGGUGCGCAGGCGGACUUGUAAGUCAGAGGUGAAAUCUCCGGGCUCAACUCGGAAACUGCCUUUGAUACUAUAAGUCUUGAAUGCUGUUGAGGUCAACGGAAUAUGUCAUGUAGCGGUGAAAUGCAUAGAUAUGACAUGGAACACCGAUUGCGGAGGCGGUUGACUAAAGAGCGAUUGACGCUGAGGCACGAAAGCGUGGGUAGCAAAC
rnacentral:rRNA from 1 species